rnacentral:rRNA from 1 species
AGUAAAAGUCGUAACAAGGUUUCCGUAGGUGAACCUGCGGAAGGAUCAUUAUCGAGUUUUGAACGGGUUGUAGCUGGCCUCUCACGAGGCAUGUGCACGCCUGGCUCAUCCACUCUUAACCUCUGUGCACUUUAUGUAAGAGAAAAAAAUGGUGGAAGCUUCCAGGAUCUCGCGAGAGGUCUUCGGUUGAACAAGCCGUUUUUCUUUCUUAUGUUUUACUACAAACGCUUCAGUUAUAGAAUGUCAACUGUGUAUAACACAUUUAUAUACAACUUUCAGCAACGGAUCUCUUGGCUCUCGCAUCGAUGAAGAACGCAGCGAAAUGCGAUAAGUAAUGUGAAUUGCAGAAUUCAGUGAAUCAUCGAAUCUUUGAACGCACCUUGCACUCCUUGGUAUUCCGAGGAGUAUGCCUGUUUGAGUCUCAUGGUAUUCUCAACCCCUAAAUCUUUGUAAUGAAGGUUUAGCGGGCUUGGACUUGGAGGUUGUGUCGGCCCUCGCUGGUCGACUCCUCUGAAAUGCAUUAGCGUGAAUCUUACGGAUCGCCUUCAGUGUGAUAAUUAUCUGCGCUGUGGUGUUGAAGUAUUUAUGGUGUUCAUGCUUCGAACCGUCUCCUUGCCGAGACAAUCAUUUGACAAUCUGAGCUCAAAUCAGGUAGGACUACCCGCUGAACUUAA